CGGAAAAUAAAAAGCCCUGAGCGAGCUAAGAACCUAAAAAAGAAAGAAUUGCAAGAAAUUUCUUGAUUCUACAGAAACUGGAGCAUUAAGGUAAGAUCUGACAGAAUCAGGAAAGAUAUCUAGGGAUGCACCAAAAGAUGCCUGAUGAUCUUCUUGAGCACAAAAAAAUAAAAAUCCCUUCAGUGAGUUUUAAACUUCCCUUUCCCUGUAUUAUCUGUACCAAAUAAUAUGCAUUCUUUAAUUAUAAAUAUACCACAUCUAAAAUUCUCAAACAAGAGCAAGAUAAUGAGUUUAGCUAGAUCAUAUGUAUCUAUUUCACCAUCAAUGCCAGAAACAAUGUAAGUAAGAAUUGGAUUUCUGCAAUGCCUCUCUGAAUUUCUUAAUCUAUAAAAUGGUGAUUAAAAUAAUAUCUGCUCAGUUCACAUCUCUGAAUAACUAUGAAAACCAGGUGUGAUAAGAUAUGCAAAAAAAAAAAAAAAAAAACCCUUACCAACUGUACUACAGAUGCAGGCAUUCUCAUGAGCUAUAAUGGCAGGUAACAAGACCUGGGUAAUAGGCCUAGCAAACUGCUAAUGAGAAAGGGCAAGAACCAUCAAGAAUAUCUUAGAACAAAGACUGCUUUAUGUCUACCAAGACUCUUGAGGGUUUUUUCCUAGGAAAUUAAAGCAUUAAUCAGAAAUAGUUAAGAAUCACAGAUAACAUCAAGCCUAAUCUGGUAGUUCCUUGGGUAAGGAAAAGAAAGCUCAAGAGAGUUAAGUGACACAGUAAAGGGACACAUUUAGGCUGGAACACAACACCUACCCUGUCUUUUCCAUUUGCCACCACAAAAUAAAUACCAGUCCACUUCUCACGGAUAAUAUAGGUUGGAUAUCCCUUUUCUGAAAUGCUCAGGAUCGGAAGUGUUUCAGAUUUCAGAUUUUUUUCAGAUUUGGGAGUAUCUACAUGUGCAUAAUAAGGUAUCAUUGGGACAGGACCCAAGUCUGAACAGCAAAUUCAUUUAUAUUUCAUAUACAGUUAAACACAUAGAGGAAAGUUUUACAAUAUUCAUAAUAUCUUUGUUAUUGAAACAAAGUUCCAUGGUACGGAAUUUUCCACUUGUGGUGCCAUGCUGUUCCUCAAAAAAUGUUAGAUUUGGAGCAUUUUGCAUCUCAGUUUAUUGGAUUAGGUAAGCUCUACCUGUAUAGUUGUGAUAUAAUUGUGAGUCAAUUUGAUUUAUGUGUGUGUGUGUGUGUGUGCAUGUGUGACACCAAGUAACCUAUGGGUGUUCUAUCACUGAGCUAUAUCCACAGCCCCCCAGCCCACCCCACGCUUUGUGUGUGUGUGUGAGUGUGUGUGAGUGUGUGUGUGUGUGUGAUAGGGUCAAACUAAGUUUUCCAGGCUGGCCUUGAAUUUGUGAUCUCCCUGCCUCAUCCUCCCAAGUAGCUGGGAUUACAGGCUUGCACCACUAUACCUGGC
rnacentral:lncRNA from 1 species